AAGACGAUGCUAACUUGGAGCUAACGUCACUACUCCACUGCAGCUUGCCAACAUCAUCCAGCACCUCAGGUCAAAGCCACCAGACCAGACCAGAAAUCUGUGCCGUUUGAUGUGCCGGCGCAGCCAGAUGAACCAAUGCCCAGGGAACCGGCCUCCACUGGGGGCUAUACGGAGGAGACAGGACCUCAUUCAUCGCUUCUAAAAUGAUCUCUGCUGUGAUGAUUGCUGGUCUUGGCCCAGCACGGGAGGUGGAAGGCACACGCUCGCCCUCGGUUGCCUGGCUCAGUGGGACCGCUCUGGGGAGAAGACCUGGACGCCAUGCCUCUGGUGCCUUGCUCUGAAACAGCAUUUAAACGAAACA